rnacentral:rRNA from 1 species
GUCUAUGGCCAUACCACCCUGAACGCGCCCGAUCUCAUCUCAUCUUGGAAGCUAAGUAGGGUGGGGCCUGGCUAGUAUUUGGAUGGGAGAAAGUGGGCAUGUUUAGAGA